rnacentral:miRNA from 1 species
GAAAAAAUUGCAAGACAUGUUAGGUUAGCGCAAAAGUAAUUGUGGUUUUUGCCAUUUUUUAAAGUAAUACAAAAACAGCAAUUACUUUUGCACCAACCCAAUUCAA